UUCGUAGGCGGUGUGGCAAGUUGGGAGUGAAAUCUCUAGGCUCAACCUAGAGGCUGCUUCCAAAACUGCUGUGCUUGAGUGUGGGAGAGGCGCGUGGAAUUGCAGGUGUAGCGGUGAAAUGCGUAGAUAUCUGCAGGAACACCCGUGGCGAAAGCGGCGCGCUGGACCACCACUGACGCUGAGGAACGAAAGCUAGGGGAGCAAGCA
rnacentral:rRNA from 1 species